rnacentral:lncRNA from 1 species
CUUUUAUUUUGACGCGCGAGUGCAGAGCGCUCACUUCCGGUGCUGGGUGAGUGUUUCCUGGAGACGAGCUGCGGCUGUUUUGAAAAGAACAUGAAUAACGAAUCUGACUCUGAUCUCGACGAAAGAAUCGAAAUAUUGAAACAGAAAUAUGCUCAGAGGAGCAACCAGGUUCCAGACGCGUCUGCUGAUGGACACACGCGAGACUACCGUACGGCUCUCAGAGAGCUCUACAGGACGCUUUCUGACCCGCCACAGAGUAGACCCCACAGCGCUGAAGAUGAUUCUCCCGAGGAGACGGACGUGUUCUGCACAGAGACAGAUGUGACUCUGCCAUCAAGCCUGGCCCGGUCGGAUCAGAGCCGGAGCGCAGCAGCAGUGCACGUGUAUCAGGAGAUGCUGCACAUUUAUGAGAGGCUGCAGGUGAGACUUUCAUCUCUGCAGAGAUGAUCUGCGUGUCAGUCAGGCUUAUUAUAGGAACUA